UGCACUCGAGCCUCGACUGCGCCCGCUUCGCGGUGGGUGCAGAAGAAUGCACUGGAGCCUCGACUGCGCCCGUGGAGCCUCGACUGCGCCCGCUUCGCGGUGGGUGCAGAAGAGGUGCUUUUAUUAGAACAAACCCGGUCGGGGCGAGCGGCGGGCAACCGUCCCGCCACCCGUACCAAUUGGGGGCGGGCGGCGGGCACCCGUCGCGCGACCCGUACCAAUUUUGGCGGGGGGGGGCCACCCGCCGCGCGACCCGUACCAAUUUUGGUGACUCUGGAUAACUUCACGCCGAUCGCAUGGGCUUUCGAGCCGGCGACGUAUCUUUCAAAUGUCUGCCUUAUCAACUGUCGAUGGUAGGUUACGCGCCUACCAUGGUUGCUACGGGUAACGGGGAAUCGGGGUUCGAUUCCGGAGAGGGAGCCUGAGAAACGGCUACCACAUCCAAGGAAGGCAGCAGCCGCGCAAAUUACCCCCUCCCGGCACGGGGAGGUAGUGACGAAAAAUAACCAAUACGGGACUCUUCCGAGGCCCCGGGAGUGGAAUGAGUACACUUUAAAUCCCUUUAACGAGGAACCAUUGGAGGGCAAGUCUGGUGCCAGCCGCGGUAACUCCAGCUCCAAUAGCGUAUAUUAAAGUUGUUGCGGUUAUAAAAAGCUCGUAGUCGGAUGUCUGUCUUCGGCCGGGCGGCGCCGCUCUGAAUCAAGGGGGUUGCGUUUAACGCUCUGGGAGCCCGGGGGUCAAAGCCCGACUCUCUUCUCGGUCGGACAACAUCGCCGGAGUGGUGGCCGGUGGGUCGCGUUGUAUCGGUUCGCGUGGGGUUUCGUUUUCUUCCUCUUCGGGGUUCGCUCCGUCGAGGGGGGGGGGGUCGCUCGCGUUCAGUUGACGCGGUUCGCUCCGCCCGUCAAUCGUUCGGGGUGCCCUUCACCGGGUGUCUCGGGCCGCCCGGCAACGUUUACUUUGAACAAAUUAGAGUGCUCAAAUCAGGUGUAUCCCAACGCCUGAAUAUCGCAGCAUGGAAUGAUGGAAUAGGACCUCGGUCCGAUUUUGCUGGACUUUUCUUUUGGACCCGAGGUAAUGGUCAAAUAGAGACGGACGGGGGCAUUCGUACUGCGGCGACAGAGGUGAAAUUCUUGGACCGCCGCAAGACGAACAACAGCGAAGGCAAUUGGCCAAGAAUGUUUUCCUUGAUCAAGAACGAAAGUUAGAGGUUCGGAAGGCGAUCAGAUACCGCCCUAGUUCUAACCAUAAACGAUGCAACCCAGCAAUCCGCCGGCGAAGUUACUCCAAUGACUCGACGGGCAGCUUCCGGGAAACCAAAGUCUUUGGGUUCCGGGGGAAGUAUGGUUGCAAAGCUGAAACUUAAAGGAAUUGACGGAAGGGCACCACCAGGAGUUGAGCCUGCGGCUUAAUUUGACUCAACACGGGAAACCUCACCAGGCCCGGACACUGGAAGGAUUGAAAGAUUGAGAGCUCU
rnacentral:rRNA from 1 species